GCUUCGUAAUCUAUAGUAUGUCUAAGACAGUGUUGGAUCAUAUGACACGGUCUAUAGCUGAAGAACUAGCGCCCCAUGGAGUUCGGGUCAACGCAGUGAACCCUGGUGUUAUUGCGACUCCUCUCUUCAAGAGAUCAUUCGGGAUGACUGAUGAGGCAACAGCU